rnacentral:rRNA from 1 species
UACGUAGGGGGCAAGCGUUGUCCGGAUUUACUGGGCGUAAAGCGCACGUAGGCGGUCUUUUAAGUCGGGGGUGAAAUCCUGGAGCUCAACUCCAGAACUGCCUUCGAUACUGGAAGACUUGAGUCCGGGAGAGGUGAGUGGAACUGCGAGUGUAGAGGUGAAAUUCGUAGAUAUUCGCAAGAACACCAGUGGCGAAGGCGGCUCACUGGCCCGGUACUGACGCUGAGGUGCGAAAGCGUGGGGAGCAAACAGG